GACGGAGGGCGCAAGCGUUGUUCGGAAUCACUGGGCAUAAAGAGCACGUAGGCGGCCAAUUAAGUCAGAUGUGAAAGCCCCGGGCUUAACCCGGGAACUGCAUUUGAUACUGAUUGGCUCGAGGACAGCAGGGGUGAGUGGAACUCCAGGUGGAACGGUGAAAUGUGUAGAUAUCUGGAGGAACACCGGUGGCGAAAGCGGCUCACUGGGCUGUCUCUGACGCUGAGGUGCGAAAGCUAGGGUAGCGAACGGGAUUAGAUACCCCGGUAGUCCUAGCCGUAAACGAUGGGCACUAGGCAUUGGAUUAUCCUAUGAGAUUCAAUGCCGUAGCUAAUGUGUUAAGUGCCCCGCCUGGGGAGUACGCUCGCAAGGGUAAAACUCAAAGGAAUUGACGGGGGAUCACACAAGCGGUGGAGCAUGUGGUUUAAUUCGAAGCAACGCGAAGAACCUUACCUGGUCUUGACAUGUGCGGAUUAGCUUUGUGAAAGCAAAGUGACGCCUCCUCGGAGGUGGAACGUACACAGGUGUUGCAUGGCUGUCGUCAGCUCGUGUCGUGAGAUGUUGGGUUAAGUCCCGUAACGAGCGAAACCCUUAUUGUUAGUUGCCAGCGGGUAAUGCCGGGGACUCUAGCGAGACUGCCGUUGUCAAAACGGAGGAAGGUGGGGACGACGUCAAGUCAUCAUGGCCCUUAUGACCAGGGCGACACACGUGCUACAAUGGUCUAUACAAAGGGUUCCAAAACCGCGAGGUCAAGGCAAUCCCAUAAAGUAGGCCCCAGUUCGGAUUGCAGGCUGCAAUUCGCCUGCAUGAAGCCGGAAUCGCUAGUAAUCGCGUAUCAGCCAUGACGCGGUGAAUAUGUUCCUGAUCCU
rnacentral:rRNA from 1 species